rnacentral:rRNA from 1 species
AUUGAACGCUGGCGGCAGGCCUAACACAUGCAAGUCGAGCGGCAGCACGGGUACUUGUACCUGGUGGCGAGCGGCGGACGGGUGAGUAAUGCCUAGGAAUCUGCCUGGUAGUGGGGGAUAACGCUCGGAAACGGACGCUAAUACCGCAUACGUCCUACGGGAGAAAGCAGGGGACCUUCGGGCCUUGCGCUAUCAGAUGAGCCUAGGUCGGAUUAGCUAGUUGGUGAGGUAAUGGCUCACCAAGGCGACGAUCCGUAACUGGUCUGAGAGGAUGAUCAGUCACACUGGAACUGAGACACGGUCCAGACUCCUACGGGAGGCAGCAGUGGGGAAUAUUGGACAAUNGGCGAAAGCCUGAUCCAGCCAUGCCGCGUGUGUGAAGAAGGUCUUCGGAUUGUAAAGCACUUUAAGUUGGGAGGAAGGGCAUUUACCUAAUACGUAAGUGUUNUGACGUUACCGACAGAAUAAGCACCGGCU